rnacentral:rRNA from 1 species
UACCAGCACCCCGAGUGGUCGGGACGUUUAUUGGGCCUAAAGCAUCCGUAGCCGGUUCUACAAGUCUUCCGUUAAAUCCAUCUGCUUAACAGAUGGGCUGCGGAAGAUACUAUAGAGCUAGGAGGCGGGAGAGGCAAGCGGUACUCGAUGGGUAGGGGUAAAAUCCGUUGACCCAUUGAAGACCACCAGUGGCGAAGGCGGCUUGCCAGAACGCGCUCGACGGUGAGGGAUGAAAGCUGGGGGAGCAAACCGG